CUCUCUCUCUCUCUCUUCCUGUAUCUCAGUUGAAAUGCUUAUUAUAAUGUUUUGGACAAAAACCCAAAUAACACACAGUGUGAAGUACAGGAGUGAACCAGCACAGAGUUUCUGAGCAGUUUUCUCAUUGGUUGGAACAAAAACCAGCAGACGGAGCAGCCCCCCAGGACUGGAGUUGUACCGCCCUGCCUGUAUGUGACCCCCCCCUCUCCCUGUAUGCCCACCAGGUCCCUGCAACAGUCUGACGUCAGAAUGGUGGUCCUGGACAUCACCAUUCCCACAGGCUUUGUCCCUGACAAUAAAGACCUUGAGAUGGUAGGAAGUGCAUUGUGGUAGACAGGCAGACUUCUCCUUGUGUCGGUCCAUCAACGGUGUAUUUUGAAACCUGAAUUUAAGGACUAUAAACACAGGCACAGGACCGCCGCUGCACCAAGUUCUACAACCCGCUCACAGAGGGGGCGGAGCUACAGAAGAUCUGCAGCAAUGACACCUGUCAUUGUGCUGAGGGUACACCUACACCCUGGGGAAGAGGAGCUGGGUGGAGCGGUGGCCCUCCGAGGCUGAAUGCGGG